UGGGUAACGUCCACUUAUUUAGCUCUUAACCUAACAAGCCUCCUCCCCACUGAAAGUGCUUUACAACCCGCAGGCCUUCUUCACACACGCGGCAUUGCUGGAUCAGGGUUGCCCCCAUUGUCCAAUAUUCCCC
rnacentral:rRNA from 1 species